UUUUUUUUCUUUUUUAAUAUUCAAAUGUUUUGGUUUUUACUUUUUUUUUUUUGGUAGUCUAUAAGGUGAGUAAUAUAAGACCUAGACCUGAAAAAGAAAAAUACAGUAAUUAAGACAGCUAUCUUGGUUGAAUACCUACUAUGUAAUAUAGUACUCUGUUCAGUGCUUUACUUAGGUUGUUUCAGUUAGAUCUCUCAACAACCUAUUGUUUUACACAGGAAAAAAAAAAAAAAGGGGAUACGGAUCACACAGUUAGUAAAUGGUGAACGUAGGAUUUAUAUCUAGGCAGUGUGACUAGCCCGUGCUCCCAAUCACUGUGCUCUACUAACUCCUAUACAAACUUGUCAGAAAUGUUCCCAAAUAAAAGAUUAACCACCAGAAGUGUAUUAAAGAACAGAAGAGGGAUCCCUGGGUGGCGCAGCAGUUUGGCGCCUGCCUUUGGCCCAGGGCGCUAUCCUGGAGACCCAGGAUCAAAUCCCACAUCAGGCUCCCGGUGCAUGGAGUCUGCUUCUCCUGCCUAUGUCUCUGCCUCUCUCUCUCUCUCUCUCUCUCUCUCUCUCUCUCUCUCUCUGUGACUAUCAAAAAUAAAUAAAAAUUAAGGGAUCCCUGGGUGGCGCAUCGGUUUGGCGCCUGCCUUUGGCCGGCGCGAUCCUGGAGAUCCGGAAUCGAAUCCCACAUCGGGCUCCCGGUGCAUGGAGCCUGCUUCUCCCUCUGCCUGUGUCUCUGCCUCUCUCUCUCUCUCAUAAAAGAAAAAUAAAAUUAAAUUAAAAUUAAAAAAAAAAGAACAGAAGAUCACAGAAAUAGUAUAGUUUUUUAAUCUCCCCAAAUCCAUUGAAGUAGAAAUUGAUGCCCAGCAUCUACAACCAAUCUUGGUGACCGUGUAUCCCCAUAGUCCCCAAAUAAGAUUAGGUAGUGACAAACUCAAAACCAAUCCUGAAUGGUAUUGGCUAUCUUUAGAAAGCCAUGGAGGAAAAGCAGUGGGACAUCUGAUAGCCUUGAAAAUCAAGAGAUCCCCCAAAUCAACAGAUUUCCACUAGAAAGCAUGGCAGGCUAAUUUGGAAACAACCCAAACAGAAGGUUCCUGCAGAUGUCAGCUGGUGAAUUUAAGGGGACUGUGCUAAGUUCUGAAGAUUUUGGGAGUAGUCUCAGUCCAUAUGAACUUUUUCUUUUUGGUUCUUCUGAAAUCUUGAAACUAACAGAAGCUUUAUUUCCAAACACCUCAAUUAAGGAGGAACUGCUAGCUAUAGACACCAAAUUGAUCAGGACAGGGAUAGUAGGGACAAAGGAAAGACCAUGUAUAGAGUGAAAUGAAGGAGAGAAUCAGAAGCAGAAUCUCAGGUCAUUUUGUGAAAAUAAUAGAAUUGAAUGGACCUUGGGGCCAGAAAAGUUAAUUUGUCCUUUCUACCUCCCUAAAAGUACAGGAAAAUGCAUUUCACAUAGAAGCAAACAACAGAAUUGUAGAAUUUAAUACAAAAAUAGGAAACAGAAUUAUCCUUAAAAACAUAAAAAUGGUUUUAAACCAAGCUAUAAAAGUUUAAGAAAAUUAUGAAAGCUAUAAAAAUUAGAAAAGCUCAGAUAAGUAGAUGAAAGAUUUUAAAAGAUCAGUAACAAUUCAGCAAAGCAUUAGAAAUUAAAGGGGAAAAGUCACUUUAAAACUGAAAACUCAGGGCCCUGGGUGGCUCAGUCAGCUAAGUGUCCAAUUUGAUAUCAGCUCAGGUCUCAGUCUCAGGGUUGGGAGUUCAGAGCCUGCGCUGGGCUCUACACUGG
rnacentral:lncRNA from 1 species